rnacentral:rRNA from 1 species
UACAGAGGAUGCAAGCGUUAUCCGGAAUGAUUGGGCGUAAAGCGUCUGUAGGUGGCUUUUUAAGUCCGCCGUCAAAUCCCAGGGCUCAACUCUGGACAGGCGGUGGAAACUACCAAGCUGGAGUACGGUAGGGGCAGAGGGAAUUUCCGGUGGAGCGGUGAAAUGCGUAGAUAUUGGGAGGAACACCAGUGGCGAAGGCGGCUCACUGGACCGGUACUGACGCUGAGGCGCGAAAGCGUGGGGAGCAAACGGG